rnacentral:rRNA from 1 species
ACUCCUACGGGAGGCAGCAGUAGGGAAUCUUCCACAAUGGGCGCAAGCCUGAUGGAGCAACACCGCGUGAGUGAAGAGGGGUUUCGGCUCGUAAAGCUCUGUUGUUAAAGAAGAACACGUAUGAGAGUAACUGUUCAUACGUUGACGGUAUUUAACCAGAAAGUCACGGCUAACUACGUGCCAGCAGCCGCGGUAAUACGUAGGUGGCAAGCGUUAUCCGGAUUUAUUGGGCGUAAAGAGAGUGCAGGCGGUUUUCUAAGUCUGAUGUGAAAGCCUUCGGCUUAACCGGAGAAGUGCAUCGGAAACUGGAUAACUUGAGUGCAGAAGAGGGUAGUGGAACUCCAUGUGUAGCGGUGGAAUGCGUAGAUAUAUGGAAGAACACCAGUGGCGAAGGCGGCUACCUGGUCUGCAACUGACGCUGAGACUCGAAAGCAUGGGGUAGCGAACAGGAUUAGAUACCCUGGUAGGAUAGCG